rnacentral:rRNA from 1 species
AAAGGGUCCGUAGGCGGUCAGAUAAGUCAGUGGUGAAAGCCCAUCGCUCAACGGUGGAACGGCCAUUGAUACUGUCUGACUUGAAUUAUUAGGAAGUAACUAGAAUAUGUAGUGUAGCGGUGAAAUGCUUAGAGAUUACAUGGAAUACCAAUUGCGAAGGCAGGUUACUACUAAUACAUUGACGCUGAUGGACGAAAGCGUGGGUAGCGAACAGGAUUAGAUACCCUGGU